rnacentral:lncRNA from 1 species
CAGGACCCCACUCAUCCUCCACCCUGUCCCAACCAGGAUAACCCACUCAUCCUCCACACUUCCCACCAGGAAGAAGACUGGGGGAGACGGUAUCGCCGACCCUCCACCCCAACCUUCAUCCGUCACCACCACCCCUGUCACCACCACCCCUCUCCAUGGGCUCAGACAACGACCCCGCCCCGGAACGCUCGCCGCCUCCAGCCUUCUACUUCUCAGACUGAGAGGAGAAAACUGGAGAGAGAGCUGGAGGAGAGAGACUAGAGAGCGGAGAGAGACUGAGAGAUGAGAGACUGAGAGAGAGAGACUGAGAGAGAGAGACUGAGAGAGAGAGAGAAGAUGAGAGAGAGACUGAGAGAGAGACUGAGAGACUGAGAGAGAGAUCUGAGAGAGAGAUGAGAGUGAGCGACUGAGAGUGAGAGACUGAGAGUGAGAGACUGAGAGUGAGAGACUGAGAGUGAGAGACUGAGAGUGAGAGACUGAGAGUGAGAGACUGAGAGAGAGGGAGACUGAGCGAGAAAGAGACUGACUCAGAUGGACAGCAUGUAGAUCUCUCUCUCUCCCUCCAUGGCAGCUCCCAGUCAAUUGUUCACAAUCAGCCACAUGCAUGGACCACAAGUACCUACACGCCUCCAGGCUGAGCAUGCAGCAGGAACAGGACCCACCUCUCAAUCAUCACUAGCAAUAGACACACAGUAAAUGAAAAGGACUGCCCUACAUAUCCAGAGCCAGACAGCGGAGAGACCCCUCUACAACCACACCUCUGUUUCAGUCAUGUCUUCCUGUUUGUCUGGAAGGUUUGACUGGCUGGCCCUUGCCCAGAAUGAUGAUGAUGGGGCUGUUUCUAUUCUCUCCAGCCUCCCGGACCCCCGUCCCCUGACCCGUUCCCAAAGCGAUGUGCUGCAUUCCUGGGGGCCACCAGUGAAGCGGCUUUAGAUGGAGGACUGCUGGUUCCUGGUGGCCCCUUGUGCACCGGUCUCUGGGGGAGGAGACAAUGUCUAAUUAAUUGAUGGUCGUCUUGUCCUGGGGAGAGUGGAGGAAUUG